AUUGAACACUGGCGGCAGGCCUAACACAUGCAAGUCGAGCGGAUGAAGGGAGCUUGCUCCUGGAUUCAGCGGCGGACGGGUGAGUAAUGCCUAGGAAUCUGCCUGGUAGUGGGGGAUAACGUCCGGAAACGGGCGCUAAUACCGCAUACGUCCUGAGGGAGAAAGUGGGGGAUCUUCGGACCUCACGCUAUCAGAUGAGCCUAGGUCGGAUUAGCUAGUUGGUGGGGUAAAGGCCUACCAAGGCGACGAUCCGUAACUGGUCUGAGAGGAUGAUCAGUCACACUGGAACUGAGACACGGUCCAGACUCCUACGGGAGGCAGCAGUGGGGAAUAUUGGACAAUGGGCGAAAGCCUGAUCCAGCCAUGCCGCGUGUGUGAAGAAGGUCUUCGGAUUGUAAAGCACUUUAAGUUGGGAGGAAGGACAGUAAGUUAAUACCUUGCUGUUUUGACGUUACCAACAGAAUAAGCACCGGCUAACUUCGUG
rnacentral:rRNA from 1 species